rnacentral:rRNA from 1 species
GAUGAACGCUGGCGGCGUGCCUAAUACAUGCAAGUCGAGCGAACGGACGAGAAGCUUGCUUCUCUGAUGUUAGCGGCGGACGGGUGAGUAACACGUGGAUAACCUACCUAUAAGACUGGGAUAACUUCGGGAAACCGUAGCUAAUACCGGAUAAUAUUUUGAACCGCAUGGUUCAAAAGUGAAAGACGGUCUUGCUGUCACUUAUAGAUGGAUCCGCGCUGCAUUAGCUAGUUGGUAAGGUAACGGCUUACCAAGGCAACGAUGCAUAGCCGACCUGAGAGGGUGAUCGGCCACACUAGAACUGAGACACGGUCCAGACUCCUACGGGAGGCAGCAGUAGGGAAUCUUCCGCAAUGGGCGAAAGCCUGACGGAGCAACGCCGCGUGAGUGAUGAAGGUCUUCGGAUCGUAAAACUCUGUUAUUAGGGAAGAACAUAUGUGUAAGUAACUGUGCACAUCUUGACGGUACCUAAUCAGAAAGCCACGGCUAACUACGUG